UGUUUAUAGACCUUGAAUGGUGAUUCUUCUACAAGGAAGCUUGAUGAAAGUGGAUUGAAGCCGGAAUUGUCAAUUCACUUCCCUCUUCAAUAUAAGGAAAAGAGGAUCGGACUUGAAGGAUUAGAAAGGUUAAGGAUUCGAGAAUAGCUUCUGUUCGAGUAAGGUGGUUAAUAGGCUACAAAAGGUGCAGGAGUGCAGGAGUAGAAGUCCUUUGGAGCUUGAGCAAACAGGAGUAGGUGUAGAGCGUUUAUAUGUAUGUUGCAUAUUUAGUGGACUGGUAAUAUAUAAAGGAAUAAUUACUAUGUUAGUAUUCAAGUUUUUUUAUUGAUGUUUUAUCUUAAGUAUAAGUGAUAUAAUUAUGUAUGUUUAAAAUCUAAGCUAACUGCUCAUGUGGGUAUAUAUGCAUGAACUAAUUACACUUUAAUAAUUUUAUGUA